rnacentral:rRNA from 1 species
GAUGAACGCUGGCGGCGUGCUUAACACAUGCAAGUCGAACGAGAAGUGAAGACGGAAACCUUCGGGCGGAAGGCUUUUUUUCGAGUGGCGGGCGGGUGAGUAACGCCUGGUUAAUCUGCCUCAUUCAGGGGGAUAACAGUUCGAAACGACUGUUAAUACCGUAUAAGACCACACAACCGCACGUCGCGGGGGUAGAAACUCCGUUUGGAUGGGAUGGAUCCGCGUUGGAUUAGCCAGUUGGCGGGGUAACGGCCCACCAGAGCGACGAUCGAUAGACGGUCAGAGAGGAUGGCCCGACACUCUGGGAGUAGGACACAGUCGAGAAUCCUACGGAAGGGGGGAAUGGGGGAUCCUGCACAAUGGGGUGGACGCAGAUGCAGCGACGCUGCGUGAGUGAAGAUGUAGUGAAGUAAGUAAAGCUCUAUAAGCACGGAAUAUAAUGACGGUACCUGAGGAAGAAGCCCCGGCUAACUACGUG